UACGUAGGUGGCAAGCGUUGUCCGGAAUUAUUGGGCGUAAAGCGCGCGCAGGUGGUUUCUUAAGUCUGAUGUGAAAGCCCACGGCUCAACCGUGGAGGGUCAUUGGAAACUGGGGAACUUGAGUGCAGAAGAGGAAAGUGGAAUUCCAAGUGUAGCGGUGAAAUGCGUAGAGAUUUGGAGGAACACCGGUGGCGAAGGCGGCCCCCUGGUUCGAUACUGACGCUGAGGUGCGAAAGCGUGGGGAGCAAACAGG
rnacentral:rRNA from 1 species